CAUUUUUGGUCUAAUGGGAUCCAUUCAAGAUUUGUCAUAUGUCAUCCUUUCAUGGUCUAUUCAUGGAUCUUUGUUUGUUCCAAUUCAUUUCAAGUCAAUCUCAAGUCACGCAUGAUCAAGUUCAUUCAUUUCAAGUUUCAAUCCAUUUUCAAGUAAUGAUUCCAUUAAAAUUACAAGUCAUGUUCAAGUCAUGCAUGUUCAAGUUCAUUUAGUU
rnacentral:lncRNA from 1 species